UACGUAGGGUGCGAGCGUUGUCCGGAAUUACUGGGCGUAAAGAGCUCGUAGGCGGACCUGCAAGUCGGGGGUGAAAGCCCGAGGCUCAACCUCGGAACUGCCUUCGAUACUGCGGGUCUCGAGUCCGGGAGAGGUGAGUGGAAUUCCUAGUGUAGAGGUGAAAUUCGUAGAUAUUAGGAAGAACACCAGUGGCGAAGGCGGCUCACUGGCCCGGUACUGACGCUGAGGCGCGAAAGCGUGGGGAGCAAACAGG
rnacentral:rRNA from 1 species